AAAAGACACAGUACAAGAUGAAGAGCACUGCGUGUUGAACUGAAGACUCUGAGUACAGAAAGCCCAUUUAUAAGAGAAAUAAAGUUUGCCCACAGAUAACAUAACCAAAGUUCUUCAGGAUGAACUCUGCUCAUUCACAGCCACUACGAGGAGUUCCCUUUUGCUUUGAGUUUCAGUUUCAGUUCUGCUGUUGAGGAACCUGUUUGAGCAAUGAGCAAGCACCUCCUUGGGCUCCCUGGGAGGCACUGCUAGAAAGAUGCUCUGCUGCUGCAGGCAGUGCUUCUGUAGCAUCACUCGUGACAAUGUGCUACUGUUGCCUUGAAGGGAUGCCAGCUUCAGUGUCAAAAAGAUAAGGAUUUUAUUCCUGAGGAACUUUCAAUGAGAGCACACUGCAGUCCUCCACAGAUCUGUCUGUACUUGACUUUCUGGAGCCUCAUGGAAAAGAUUUACAGAACAAAUGCUUUACUACCUGUUUGAAAAUGUCUCUGGGACAGAUCUUUGGUAUAACUCCAGAACCAGUAUUUCCUGAAGCUAAUGGUGGUCUCCUGUCUGUUUGGCUGUAGCUUCAUGGAGUUGGACCCAAUGGCAUAUUCUCUCAUUCAGGAAGUUUGUUCAGACUGUUUAGUUGAACUUGUAGGGAACUGAAAGUGUUAAGGAAAUGGGAUGGUGUGAAGGGACACAUUAAAAAGGUGUGCAAAGAAGAUGUCAAAACAGCACUACUCAUCUAACACCACUGAGUGGCAGAUAGCAAUGAACAACUCUGUAUGCAACAUUGUAUUUGACCAAGGAGAAACUGAUGAAUCUUCACUGUGUUCAACAAGCUAUGAAAUUUCUAGUCCAGUGCCAGUGAAACUGGGACACUGCAGCAUCAUAAACUAUCACUAUGUUGAUAACACACAGGCUAUUAACCUUCCAAAACAUUCACCUCGGAGGCUAAACUUCGCAGUACUUCAGCUUCGAUUCUGA
rnacentral:lncRNA from 1 species